GCAUAUCAAUAAGCGGAGGGAAAAGAAACUAACAAGGAUUUCCCCUAGUAGCGGCGAGCGAAGCGGGAAAAGCUCAAAUUUGUAAUCUGGCGUCUACGACGUCCGAGUUGUAAUCUCGAGAAGUGUUUUCCGUGAUAGACCGCAUACAAGUCUCUUGGAACAGAGCGUCAUAGUGGUGAGAACCCAGUACACGAUGCGGAUGCCUAUUACUUUGUGAUACACUUUCGAAGAGUCGAGUUGUUUGGGAAUGCAGCUCAAAUUGGGUGGUAAAUUCCAUCUAAAGCUAAAUAUUGGCGAGAGACCGAUAGCGAACAAGUACCGUGAGGGAAAGAUGAAAAGCACUUUGGAAAGAGAGUUAACAGUACGUGAAAUUGUUGGAAGGGAAACACAUGCAGUGAUACUUGCUAUUCGGGGCAACUCGAUUGGCAGGCCCGCAUCAGUUUUUCGGGGCGGAAAAGCAUAGAGAGAAGGUAGCAGUUUCGGCUGUGUUAUAGCUCUUUAUUGGAUUCGCCCUGGGGGACUGAGGAACGCAGCGUGCUUUUAGCAUAAGCUUCGGCUUAUCCACGCUUAGGAUGCGGGUUUAUGGCUGUAUAUGACCCGUCUUGAAACACGGACCAAGGAGUCUAACAUGCUUGCGAGUAUUUGGGUGUCAAACCCGGAUGCGCAAUGAAAGUGAAUGGAGGUGGGAAGCGCAAGCUGCACCAUCGACCGAUCUGGAUUUUUUAAGAUGGAUUUGAGUAAGAGCAAGUAUGUUGGGACCCGAAAGAUGGUGAACUAUGCCCUGAAUAGGGGCGAAGCCAGAGGAAACUUCUGGUGGAGGCUUCGUAGCGGUUCUGACGUGCAAAUCGAUCGUCAAAUUUGGGUAAUAGGGGCGAAAGACUAAUCGAACCAUCUAGUAGCUGGGUUCCUGCCGA
rnacentral:rRNA from 1 species